CAUCUUCUCCUCUUUCGCUUCUCUUCUAGUCUCUCCUCUCCUCUUCUGCCGAAUUUGAAAGUUCAACCACCGACCUUCUCUCUCUUCGUCUAUAAAUACCAAUGUUUUUCUUCUCACUGCCUUGGAGCGCAAGCCAACGAGGAGGAGGUGAUCGGAGGAGAAGGCCAUGGCGGAUCCUUGGUUCAUCGCCUUCCUCUUCUUUGUCAGCGUCUUAUUGCCUAUCGUCGUUGUAUACCUCGCUUACAAGCACGACGAGCCGGUCGGCCCUCCGCGCUCAGCAGAGAUCGGUAAGCCUCCUGUGCCUGCAACCUCAGUUCUUACCUCGUCGUCGCCGCCGCGAUCGGAUCGGCCGCGGAGGAGGCGGCGGGCGAAAAACCAGGAACCGGCUCCCGGCGAUCUAGGGCUCCGACCGCCGGUGCCUCCGGCCGCUUCCACCUCCGUUGCAGGGGCCGAUCGACCGAUUAGGACGAUACGGGGUGGCGCUAAGUCUCUGGGUGAGGCUAGCGCGUCUAGUGGUGUUCCCUCGCCACCCGAUCUCGCUGGACAGAGGGCAAUCAUCCGAGAGAUCGUUGAGGUUGAACUCGAGAAGGAAAUCGCCGAGGGUAAAGUGGGUGUUCCUAGCUCUCGAGAACUUCGUGGAAGGAAAAAAGACAACAGGGUGGAGAUUGGUAGAGGUAAUGAUGAUUUCGUCAAAGAUGAAGUGGAUGCGGAGAAAGAGGGCGAGAUGGCUGUGGAUCUGGAUGAGGGAGAUUUGGAAAGAAAGAGAGAUGCUAGGGCAUUGAGUGAGGAGACGAGAGAAUCCUUGCUACACUGCGACGAUGAAUGGGAAGGGAUCGAGUUGAGCGAUGUGCAGAAAGUGUUCAGAAUUGCGACCCAGUUUGUUGAUGGAAAGAAGGGCGCGGAAGCAGUGUCGAAACUGAGUAGCGAGUUGCAGAUGCAGCUGUAUGGACUCCGAAAGGUUGCGACCGAAGGUCCUUGCUAUGAGCCACAACCCAUGGCUUUCAAGGUUUCUUCUCGCUCCAAAUGGCAUGCUUGGCAAAGAUUGGGGAACAUGAAUCCAGACGUUGCCAUGGAAUUGUACACCAGUCUUCUCUCUGAAAAUGUUCCAGAAUGGUUUGCAGAAAAAUUAUGGGAGACUAAAGUAGACUGUGUGUCGGGGAUAGAUCAGCAUGAUCCAAAGGCUUCGUCUGAUCUUAAUACUGAUACGUGCUGACUUGUGUCAUUACUAACAUUGUCAUCUAAGGUGCCCCUGGCAAAGUGGAUAAAGGUCUCAGACUAUCUGAAAAGGGCUGGAAGUUGCUACCAUUCAACCAGUUCUCACCCACACGAACAACAUUCUGAAGCAAGCUUGCUGCAUGGGUACCCUUACAUAGCAACUACUUUGAUUUCUUAAUGCACACGUGGCAAAAGACCACGAGCUCUAAUUUUAUUAUAUAUUUAGUUUAAAAAUGAUUUUCUAAAUUGUGUUUAUAUAGAAUAUCAUUUUUUA